CUUUUUCCCCUCUUUUGGAGCUACUGGUGUCUCUUCUUCAAUACAGCCUCGCCUUUUAGAUGAAUUAUUAUGUCUUGUCAGGAUUGGCAUAUUCUUAAUAUUCGGUGAACAACAUAUAUUCAAUGUUUAAAAAUUUAUUUACAAAAUUGCCGCCAUUUUUUCUUGCUUUUUCGUUGGUUUUCAUCGCGCGUUUUUCUCGCGAGG